GUAUCAACCCUAAUACAUCUAAAAAAUAUUGCCUCUUUCUUUGAUGAAUCGAAGCUUCAUCUUGUACCAUCUUUGGGUGGUCUACUCCGUGCCAUGGCUUGUUGUUGUGUCUGCUCAUUUCAGCUUACAGAAUUAAGUGUCAAUUGUUACCUUGUAAUACCAUUGCGUCUAUUUUUAGCUUAUUUUUCUUCUAUUUUGUUGCUCCUAGUUGUGCUCUGCGGUGGAUGGUAAUUACAACUUUUUGUGCUCUACUGAGGGUUCUAGGCACCUAAAGAUGAUUAAUUUUCCGAUUACAACUGGUAUGGAGAUAAUGGGAUGCUCAUUACUGCAAAUAAUGAGAUAGUAAUAUCCUCUUCAGGUGUAUGAAUUCAAAACUACAAAAUAACCCUCCCUUUUUUGCUGUGAGUCCUUUUUUGGCGGCUAUAGUAUAGGGUAGAUAGAUUUUUAACUCUUAUUGGUGACUCUAUGGCUUGUAAAUAUUUGCAUGUGAACAAAGUAAGUUUUAGCCUUCCCUGCACCUUUACCCCUUUGUUGUAAUUUAUCACUAUUAACUAUUAUCUUUCCUGUAACUUAGAAAUGCAGGAAACUUGUUAUUGCAAAAUCCCCUUUAUUAAUGGAUAAAUUGGUUAAA